rnacentral:rRNA from 1 species
CCUACGGGAGGCAGCAGUGGGGAAUUUUGGAUAAUGGGCGCAAGCCUGAUCCAGCCAUGCCGCGUGAGUGAAGAAGGCCUUCGGGUUGUAAAGCUCUUUCGGCGGGGAAGAAAUCGCACCGGUUAAUACCCGGGGUGGAUGACGGUACCCGAAUAAGAAGCACCGGCUAACUACGUGCCAGCAGCCGCGGUAAUACGUAGGGUGCGAGCGUUAAUCGGAAUUACUGGGCGUAAAGCGUGCGCAGGCGGUUUUGUAAGUCAGAUGUGAAAUCCCCGGGCUCAACCUGGGAACUGCAUUUGAGACUGCAAGGCUAGAGUGUGGCAGAGGGGGGUAGAAUUCCACGUGUAGCAGUGAAAUGCGUAGAGAUGUGGAGGAAUACCGAUGGCGAAGGCAGCCCCCUGGGCCAAUACUGACGCUCAUGCACGAAAGCGUGGGGAGCAAACAGGAUUAGAUACCCUGGUAGUCCACGCCCUAAACGAUGUCAACUAGGUGUUGGAAGGGUUAAACCUUUUAGUGCCGUAGCUAACGCGUGAAGUUGACCGCCUGGGGAGUACGGCCGCAAGGCUAAAACUCAAAGGAAUUGACGGGGACCCGCACAAGCGGUGGAUGAUGUGGAUUAAUUCGAUGCAACGCGAAAAACCUUACCUACCCUUGACAUGUCAGGAAUCCCGGAGAGAUUUGGGAGUGCUCGAAAGAGAGCCUGAACACAGGUGCUGCAUGGCUGUCGUCAGCUCGUGUCGUGAGAUGUUGGGUUAAGUCCCGCAACGAGCGCAACCCUUGUCAUUAAUUGCCAUCAUUCAGUUGGGCACUUUAAUGAGACUGCCGGUGACAAACCGGAGGAAGGUGGGGAUGACGUCAAGUCCUCAUGGCCCUUAUGGGUAGGGCUUCACACGUCAUACAAUGGUCGGUCCAGAGGGUUGCCAACCCGCGAGGGGGAGCUAAUCUCAGAAAGCCGAUCGUAGUCCGGAUUGGAGUCUGCAACUCGACUCCACGAAGUSGGAAUCGCUAGYAAUCGCGGAUCAGCAUGUCGCCGUGAAUACGUUCCCGGGCCUUGUACACUCCGCC